UACGAGGGGGGCAAGCGUUGUUCGGAAUUAUUGGGCGUAAAGGGCGCGUAGGCGGUGCGGUAAGUCACCUGUGAAAACUCUGGGCUCAACUCAGAGCCUGCAGGCGAAACUGCCGUGCUUGAGUGUGGGAGAGGUGCGUGGAAUUCCCGGUGUAGCGGUGAAAUACGUAGAUAUCGGGAAGAACACCCGUGGCGAAGGCGGCUCUCUGGAACGCAACUGACGCUGAGACGCGAAAGCGUGGGGAGCAAACAGG
rnacentral:rRNA from 1 species